rnacentral:lncRNA from 1 species
GCCGGCUGCGCCGCUCGCCUCCAAGGGAGCGUUCCGUGCUGGCCCCUCGCUCGGCUCCGCUCCGCCUCCGCCACGCCGCUCUCCGAGCUUCGGCAGCAGCCAGCGCCCCCUCCACGCUGCGACCCCGGCUCUCGGCUCUCCGUCCCUGUAGCUCCGUGCCCAGCACCUCGCGCCCCGCAACCUCGCCGUCUCCCAAGUCCCGGGCCCCGCUUCUGUCGCUGUCCGUCGCUGUCCGUGUGUCGCUCGCUCGGUCUGUCUCUCCGCCUCCCCAGCCCUUCCUUCCUCCCUGUCUCCCUCGCUGGCUUGCACGUUCGCUCGCUCUCGGACGCGGCGAAACAGCUUCGCAGGCAAAUCCCAGAAACCUUUGCAAAAAGCUUGCAAUGAAAUUUAAGAAGUUCUUCGAUUUCGGCGCCAUUUUCGAGUGGAGCCAGAGGUGACAUGCGAUUUUUUAAAAAGGGACUUGGUGGCUGGCGUCUUUCCCGACUGUAACGUGGGUUACGGCAGGCAGAAAAACAUCUGGUGAUAAUUCUGAAAAAAGUGCUGUGGCGUUUGGGGGGGUUGUAAAGCACGUUUUGCGGGCGGGAUGGGGGCAAAUCUGACAUUUAAAGUGUUUAACAAAUGAGUGCGGCCGGGAAAUUCUCAGGAAACGGACUGGGAAAAAAAAAACAACAACUAACAUGGAGGGGCGGGGAGAGAAAACUGAGUAAGGGGCAGUGACCGACUGUCAGCCUCGCUAGGGUCGGGAGCGACUGGUUUUGACAGAAUGUAAAUGAACUUUUCCUCUUAUUUGCAAGAAGUUAGUUAUGUCUUGGAAAGAAAUGUGUGAUUAAUUUCACAUUGUCUCUCCCGAAUUAAAACUUUAAAGGUUGUUUAGUUUUCCCCGUAGGGACUUGACAUUGUGGAAGUUUGGCUAGAAUGCGCCGAGAGAAGGUACAUCGUGUGUUUGGGGUGUGGGGGACGAAGGCAUAUGCAAAAUUAAAAGACAAAACGUUGUAGAGUAUGAACAGAGGAAGAGGCGUAUUCUUUGGCUCUUAAAUCAUUUAGCCAAACACAUUGCAGUUCAGAAGGGGGUGGGGCUAUGGCAACUCGAAAGUAUCGAUUCUUUGUCUAUUGUAUCAGUGAAUGACCCUCUCCUGAAGUGACAAGACGCCCCUUUGUAAUCUCUUUUCGUAAGUAAAUUUCAGUCUAAGGGGAAAUAUGUAAACUAGGGGAUCGAGGUGGCUUUUUAGGGGUGUAACUCGUUGUACUAUCACUGGGAGAGAUGAAAGGGGUUAGGGUGAAAGGUAUAAAUGAAUUUGAUUCCAAGAGCAAUCUGGAAGGGACCUUCGCCUUUGACACCGAUGCUGUUUCGAAUGAACUUUUGUUUUUCUAAGUAGUCAACUAAGGAAAUGUUAAAUUAGGCAUGACUUUAACUUCUGACAUGAUGGCUCGUAUAUUUGUGUGGAACAAAAUGUUGGGAGAAAGUUGUGGAGUUUUACAUGAUAAUUGUACAUUUGCUAAACAUGUUUUUUUUUUCUUUUUAAGGGCAGUCAACGACAUUUUUCUCCAUUAAUCCCAAAGUCAGUGUAAAAGUUGUUUGUAAAUAUCAUUGCCAAAACAAGAUGGAAUGUAGAGAUACUUGAUUGUCGCAAUUUAGGGAAUGGGGUUAUUGUUACUAAUGACUUUUUUUUUUUACCAUGACAUAGUGUAUUUGUUACCACUGGAUCUCAGUCUGGAUGUUAUAAAUUCGAUACUUAAUCUUAUUAAAUACUCUGCACAUUUUAUUAACUAAUAAAUAGGACACUUAACAUUCAUUGUACUGGUUUUGAAAAACCGACUUAAUUUGUAAGUGUAACAAGAUACUUACAGUUGGAUAAUUUAAAUGUCUAUUACUUGUGCUGAAAUGUAUUUAACUUUCAAAACCAUUACAGUUAGUGCUGAUUUUGUUGUUUUAACUUUUAGGUUUGUGAUUGAGGAUUUCAGAGUGGGUUUUUUUUUUAAUGCUUAAUUGAAUAUUGUAUUCAAACAAAAAGAGGGCAUGCAUGUGACUUGUUGCUAAUAUGUGUCCAUUUUAAAAAGGAAAAAGUGGUAUCUAAUGAGUUAAUCAUUAAGGAGUAUGCGCAGUGCCGGCCAUUUCAGGACAUGAAAGUUUCUGUGGAGCUGCUUGAAACAGGAAGGAGCGACUUGACAUCAAGUAUUUAAACUUUUUGAUUUAUGUUUUGAUAGAUGACAUUGAUAGGUAUAAAUUAUAAAUAAGUUUGAGUAACCAGUUUAAUAUGUAAACUGGUAUUUCAUCUACAGAAAGUUCUCUGUCAUUGUUUGGAGCUCUUUAAAAUAACUCAGCUGGGGUGUUUAAGAAUAAAAACACUAGCAGUGAGUUAGGACAUCUAAUGCUUUUAAAGAUAGAUGUAUAUGUCGCAACGAUAGUGUAAGAAUCAGCUGAAGCUACCGGUGAGGUUUUGGUUAUUUUCUUUCAGUCAUCUGAGUCCAUUUCCAAUAAAGGUUGUUUUUUUGUUUCGUUUUUUGUUUUUUUUUAAUGGGGACAAUGAAUGAGACUUGUAAUAUGCAGCAGGAAGAAGUUUCACCAAGACUUUGAAACUGGCAAGAAUGAUCCAGAUGUCCAAUUGCCUCUACUUAACCUUAUUCGUCUACCUUCAGAAGUAAUUAGAUUCUCUUCCACACUAAUUCGUAUCCCCCAUCGCUCUGCUUUUCACCCACUACGUUGUUCCAAGAUUCAUCCUCAGGGGAAAAAAUUGAGAGCCACACUUUCGGCUCCACCUGCAGCUCCUGGAAAUCAAAUGGUACCCCCAGAUCGAUCCCCCUUCAUUGACUCCGAGGGGAUACAGCAGCAAUUCAUGUUUUGAAGUGUUCUAAAUGGUUCAAAACGUGAGGCGCUGCUAUACCCCCUCGUGGGGAAGGUAGAAGGUGGGGUCUGCCGGACGCGUGUUCCUGCCACCAGGUGCCCGCUCCCCGCGAGGCCGGCUCAGGAGCAGGUAGGUGGGCGGGGGCUCGCGUCUCUGUUUCCGGCGGGUCCUCGCCCUUGUCCACGCAGCAGGGCUGUAGUCCGGGGAGGGCAGUAUUCCUGGCUAGGCUGGGGCGCAUAGGCGGUGCGAGUCGAGGAGAGACGCGGUGCCCGCGCUCAGCCGUGCCCUAGCAGCGGGAACAGUUCUGCAGUGAGCGAUCGGUGCUCUGGGGUAUUGUUUCCGCUGCCAGGGUAAGUCUGGGACUGCCGUUCGGGCCUACCCAGCAGGUAAGUCUUAGGCCAUCGCCUGCGGUGUCGGCCCCGGGAGCAGCGAGACCCAAGAUUGCAUCAAACGUUUGCCCCGUCUCUGCAUAUGUGACUGGACGUGAAUGAUGCUUCAUUUUGGCACCCCCUUUCCCUGCUCAGGUAGAAUGUAAACAAUUGAAAAAAAUCCCUUCCCAAUCAGAAUACCACCCACAGGACAACGAAGAAAACCUAUCUUCAGUCCCCACCCACGAAAUGCUGGGGGGUGGGGAGGACUGGAAAAGGAGUAAGGGGAGAGGAAGGGUGAGCAGCUGCAAGAAGUCUUUACACCUCUCUGCGGUUCCUGGUAAACGCGCUCAUGUCCUGGGUAUGGAAGGGACUUAAGAAUUCAGGAAAGAUCAAAAUAACGGGCCUCUUCCCCACUCCCUCGCCCUCCCUUCCCCGCUGCUGGGGGGUUAGGGAGGCUCCGUGGAGCUCCAGCACUCUAGAAGGAUCGGGUGAGGCGCGAGGCCUUGCGGGCGGGUGAACCCAAGGUGGGGUGGAAGGCUCCAACCCGCCCAAUCUGAGCCCGAGGCCUGCUGAGAAGCAUGGGGGCCUUGGGAUAGUUCCAGAAUGAGGAUGUGCGUUUCUAGCUGCUUUGCGCCCUCCUCCCCCAAAAAUCUGCUACCACAAUUCCAACCCGGCGGCACGCCCCCAAGACUCCUUUGUCGCCCCAGGGGCGGGACCUGAGCUGUCGAUUUCAGGAGCCCUUCGUGACUUCAAAAGUCCUGGGCACUGUUGCUCAUGAGUGCUGCACAACUGUCGCCCUCUAAAGCCACCUCCAUCCCUCACUGGGCUGGCCUCCUGAGCCUUCGGUGAGGAAACGGGGUUCCGAGUUGCCCGCCUGAGAGCUUAACAGUCUGACUAGAAAAGGGCUAAUUCGCUUUCUGUGCAAAUCUCUUGAGCUAAUUAUUUAAUCUGAAACAUGGACAGGUAAAGGACCAUUGGCGGGCGUGGGGAGGGAGGUGUGGAAUCUUUCCCACACUUUUUGUCACCUUAAAGAAAAAAAAAAGACACCCAAACUCCUCUGGUCUGAAUGGGCUGCCUGGAACUGGGCUUCCCGGGGCCAGGAGUGGGCCCCUAGAAGUUUCCCAGUUUGGGGUGGGGCCGGGGUUCCGAAGUCUAGAGCUGGGAGUCGGGUUCAGCGGCCCGAGACGCUGGCUCUCCCAGACUCCCUUGCGCCGGGGCAGUGCGCGGGGGCGGCUCGGGUCCCUCCCGGGCCGGCGGGGACCCUCAGGCUCCCGGGGCGCCGCCCACCAGCCCGACCCGGCGGCCUAGAAAUCCCCAUUCUGCUCCCGCCUCGCCCCGGCCGGCCAGCGCAGGGCCCCUCAGGCCCGCAAUCUCCAGGCUCAAACGGCGAACAGGUCCCCGCAUCCGCCUGCCUUUGCACUUGGGGGUGGGAGAGCCACCUUGUGACGCCCCUUCUGCCUCUCACCAGCUUCCCCCUUUCUCCCCGUCCUGUACGGUUCCCCCUGGAGCCAGAAGGAAGCCCGGUGCCAGCCAGCCUUCCUGAAAGACCAAGCCCGCGCCAUCCGGCUUCCUCCAGUGGACGCCUGCAGGACCCAGGAACACUACAUCAACACUGUUGGCGGGGACCUGGACACAGAAGACUCCUGUUUCAAGAAAAUACAAUCAUCUCUCAAAGGCUGUAAUUUAUAUGCAUUUUAAAACUCUAGGCAUUGAAAACCACCCAAGUGUCCCAAAUAGAAGGGUAAUAUAUAAUCAAUCACUCAGUGUAAUAUUAUACAUCCUUUAAAAAUGUUAUUGGGAAAUGUUUUAUGAUCUGUAAGUCCAAGGAAUCCUCUCCCACCAUUUCUUUCCCCCCGCUGUUCCCCCAUACCCACACUUCUUUGUUCCAAUUGGCAUGUAAAUUUGGUUUUCCCGCCAAAUGAGUCAGUCAUGAUGGGAACCUCAACUGAUUUGAACAGAUGUGUGUCAAUGUUACUUGGAAAACUAGAUGUCAAUAACCAGGGUCACAGAAAAAGGCAGUGGUCACAACUCUGUAAAAAUGUAUGCAUGCACACAGACAAGAACUAAAGUGGAACCCCACACAGGAAAACAGUGGGCUGUACUCCAGUGCUGGGACAUUGAAUGACUGUAUGCUGCUUUUGAUUUCCGUUAAUAUGGGCAACUGUCCAAUUAAAAAAAAAACUCCUAAGGACUCUGCAGUGCAAAUUGUUUUGCUGAUUGUUUUAAAACACCAUACCUAUCAACUCAUCAAGGCAAAUGGGGCAGCGGGGGACUGGGUUCGUUCCCUGAAUCCUGGACUGCUAUAGAGCUCAGGGCAACAUUUGCAGAAAACCUGAGCCUAUGAG